ensembl:lncRNA
UUGUAGACUGUCAAGAAGCUGCUGUUUUACUGACAAAAAGUGAGGCGAGGGUCAACCUACAACUGCCUAAAGAUGUCGUCAUCACUUUUGCCAGCACACCAGGAAAGAAAGCAAGCAAGUUUAAUGGAUAUUUCAAGAAAGCUGAAAUUUCACUGAAACCAUACCAAAGGCGUCCAUGGAUCUGUCUCAAUGUGACAGAUGCUUUGCCUCUGUCUAGGCACGCACACACACCUGACCCAGAAGCUCAAGCUGACAUCCGGCAAAUAUUCCAAAAACUACACAGUGCUUCACCCAGUAAACGUCAAACAAAGCAUGGGCCACAAAAACAAACCAGCCAUCGUCCCCACAACAUCCAGAGUGAUCAGGUGCAGAGAGGAGCCGUACUGGGGCCUCCAGCUCUAAAGUCUGUUGCUCAAGAACAGAGAGAAGACAGAAUGAGGAGGCUGGAAAGGAGACUGGAGGAGCUGGCU